rnacentral:ncRNA from 2 species
GGGAACCCGGUGCAAGUCCGGGACGGUCGCGCCACUGUGAACCAUACCGCCGCCACCAGCGGCGGAAUGGCAGUCAGAGCACC